rnacentral:rRNA from 1 species
UCGUGGUGUAAACUGUCUGCCUUAUUGCGUUAACGAGCGAGACGACCGCCCCAUAGCCAUGGGGGAGUGCUAGCGUUGAGUUAGACGAACGUGGUCGCACUAGCA